rnacentral:misc_RNA from 1 species
GAGGUCAUUUUGCAAAUUGCAUCAAAUUAGGGAAGAAGGCUGAGAAGAAUGAUGAAGGUGGCUCCAAAGAUAGUUUUCCUGUUCAAAGACUCAGAUGGAUUCGCUACCGCCAUCGCUGAUGCUCUCCACCCUACCACUGGCUCCUCUUUUCACAGAUUAGAAGACUCGUUCGAGCUAUCACUGGCCCGAUAUGGAAUCCAAGAUGUUAAAGCGAAAGGCAAUCUAAUUCAUUUUAUCGACAAUGAUAGCAAUUAUCAGGUGUCAGUUUUGCUCAUGGAUAAGUAUGAGCCGCCAAACUUGGUGUGUGCCUUAAGUGAAGUUUUGACCCAAAUAAUAGGGGAAGCAUCAGCAGGCCUACCAACGCUUAUAGUUCCAUUUAUUGGCACAUCUACGAAACUUAAAUGGGAGAGCAGAACCUCAACAAAGGAUGAUAGCAAAGUUUCAAUAUAUGGUGAGCAAAUAGGUCCAGAAACAGAUAUAACUCAGGCCAUUGCUAGUAGAACCCAAAAGCCACCAUCAUCAUUGCAGGUUAAUUAUGAGCCUUUAGCCUGCUUCCUUCAGUUAGUUAGUGUAUUAAAAUUGCCAACUUCAGUUCUUAUUGGGCAAAGAGCUCGAAGCGGUUCAGAUAAAGCUGCUGAAGGAGAGCUUGAGGUAUUCAUUCUUCAAUCACUCUCAACUAAUGUGACUACCAAGUGAUGGAGUAUGAGUCAUGAUUUUAAAAGGCAUGAUGAAUGGGAGCCAUUAAAUUGAAACUUUCAGUUUAUGAUUGCAACAUGAAAAUAGUGGCAAGGUUGCUUUAUAUUUACUAGCUUAUUAUUCUUGAUGCUAAUUUUCCAGAUACUCUAUGAGAUAGGAGAGCUUUUGGCAUCCACUACUUGCUUGUGCUUCUUGAGGGAGAAACUCAUUUGGAAUCCAGAAAAUGCAACAAAGGAUAGUAAAGAGCCAUGGCGUGCACUGUAUGGUUGAAAUUCAGGUAUUUGUGAGCUUUAGAAGUGGAGAAGUUACAAGUAAUUUGGUGCAUCUGAUUGAAAAACUAUGUAUCCUUAUGGUUUCUGUUAUGAAAAUUCAUAGACAUUACAGUUCUUAAAGGGCAAUCAAUUUAUCAGGAUGUUCAGGAGGUUGUGCUCUAGUCCCUAUUGAUCCUUACGGUCAACUUGGCUGGAAAAUUAUAAAGUGCAUUCGUUGUAUGUGCAUCAACUCUUGAUUAUGGUGGGUCUCCAUUGUCUUUUAAAUAUAUAUCCUAAAUAUAUAAAUAUACACGUAAUAACUUCUCUACUUUGCUAGUGGCAAAUUCCAUAUUGAAUUUAGGAUAUAUAUUUAUAUACUAAAAAUAAAUUAUAAAAGGUA